rnacentral:rRNA from 1 species
GAUCAUUAUUGAAUGAACUUGGUGUGGUUGUCGCUGGCCCUCUUGGGGGCAUGUGCACACCUACCAUCCUCAUCUCUCCACCUGUGCACCUCUUGUAGAUUUGGAAUUGAUUAUCCGAGGCAACUCGGUCGUGAGGACUGCUAGCACUUAGCUGGCUUUCUUUGCAAUUCCAGGUCUAUGUUUUUUCAUAUACCCCAUUGUAUGUAACAGAAUGUAUCAUUGGGCCUUGUGCCUAUAAACCUUAUACAACUUUCAGCAACGGAUCUCUUGGCUCUCGCAUCGAUGAAGAACGCAGCGAAAUGCGAUAAGUAAUGUGAAUUGCAGAAUUCAGUGAAUCAUCGAAUCUUUGAACGCACCUUGCGCUCCUUGGUAUUCCGAGGAGCAUGCCUGUUUGAGUGUCAUUAAAUUCUCAACCAUUAUCAACUUUUGCUGAUAAUGGCUUGGAUGUGGGGGUCUAUUUUGCUGGCUUCUCAGAUAGUCAGCUCCCCUUAAAUGCAUUAGCCGGUGCCCCGCGUGGACUGUCUAUUGGUGUGAUAAUUAUCUACGCUAUAGACAUCUGCAAUCAURUGGGUUUGCGCUGCUUCUAACAGUCUGUUGAUUCAGACAAUACAUGACAAUUUGACCUCAAAUCAGGUAGGACUACCCGCUGAACUUAA